AUACUCUCUCUCUCUCUCUCUCUCUUCCUCGCUCGCUCGCUUGCUCUGGCUCUCGGCGAUUGCUCCUUGGCGCGGCGGCGACCGGCGAUCGAAUCGACCCCGAAGGUUUUGUUGGGUACGGGUGGUAUGAUUUUUCUUGCUUGACUUUUAUUAUAUGGAGAAUUUGGAAAGACAUUUCUACAAAUACAGGGGUGUUUUCUAUUAGCUUGACGAUGGUUGUAUAAAGGAAGUCCAGUUGACCAUGUUCACAAGGCUCCCCUUUCUAGGAGUUUCUCUGUCUCUUUGUAUUAGUGAACACACGCUUGAAGAAAAGAUAGUGACCACCCUGACUCUGCUGGUGGGCUUUUUGAUGGUUGUUUUGUCAAUAUUGGAGAGACACGUAGUUAAUACUAUGUGCUUCUCACGGAGAAUAGAUGUACCAAUCUUAUAGGGAAUGAAAAUGUGUGCGGUAUUUGGAAAUUUCGUUAUUCUCUAUGUAAGUUUGUCAAUUCCAUUAUCAGGUUACUUAAUAGCCCGCUUCUUCUGUCUGCACUCUUCAUGAAGAUAAUUAAGGCCUUUUGCUAUAUCGAGAAUGAUAUU